AGGCAGCAGAGGCGUGUCUCUCCAGCUCGUUUGGAAAGUACUCGUUGAAACGUACACGUCCAAACUCGCUUUGCCCGGCACUCUUAAGAGUUAUACAUCCACAGUGGAGUCGAUGGGAGGUGAGGUCUGUUUUCAUUGUGUGUUCAUCCGACUUAUGGAAAGGAGACAAAAAAAGGGAAUUUAUUGAAGCUCUAUGUGGCCCCCUGGUGGCAGGCAGGGGGUGAAGCAGAAGCUCUGCAGAGGUUCGGCUUCUGCUGUGCUCUCAUUCUAGCCACACUGCUCACCCUGGACACACUCCAAAAGCUGCUUAGUACUCUUUGGGGAGACAGAUUGUUUAUCAUGUUAGUGGUGCUAAUUCUUCUUUAUAAUUAUCUUACUGGGUGAAAAAUGUGUGAUGUUUAAGGGGUAACAGCAUGGUGCCAAAGUCAGCGGGGUAAGAAGACUUAUUCUCACUGGAAUAAUCCACUAUUAGAGAGGGAAAGCACCCAAAUUAUUUAUUUUUGUAUCUCUGAUGUGCUCCCAGUGUUGAAAAGUCAUGUCACCCUUAGCAAACCUUUGAUAAGUAACAGACAGAAGGAUCAGUCAAGGAGCAGCAGGCGAAAUGUGGUGGAUUUCUCCUUGUUUGAAGAGAAUAGCUGAAUUUAAAAGGUGGGUUAACAUGGUUUAUGUAGAUCUUUUGUUUGGUCAGAAUCCUUGAGCACAACCAUAAAUAAUCUACACUAUAAAUGAUAGGUAUUAUUACUCUAUACUGCCGUCAAUCAUUUUAAAAUCAUAAUAUCAGUCAUAUUUGAAUGCGGCUGCACCUUAGAUGGCUUAAAAAGACAGAUUGCACUGUUAGCAACAUUGACAUUGAAAUAAUGGAAACGAUGCAUCCACAAGAGACAGCGAGGCCGACAUGUUGACGCUGCCUCCGCCAUUUACGCUCUUUGUUUUGUUUUCCCCUCUUCCCUCCACACUGGAUAGCAGGUUUUCUGUCAAUAUAAGAUCUAAUCUGAGGGUGGUGACGGUACAGAAGGGACAGUGGUGCACCACACGCCAUUAUACGGAUAUCACAUAGUGUGCUGCUUAAUACCAGAAAACAAGGUAAUACCGACAAAGGAUUGUUUUUCCUUACCUCAUAACUCAUCCUUAUGAAUAUUUUCACUAUCAAAGUAUUCUAUAUGGCACUCAUGGUUCACAGUGAGUGCUGCAGCUUUGCACAUGAUAUGAUUGUUGGGCCUCCACCCUGCUAAUAAACCUCACCACGCUUUUCUUCACUGAGGACAAAGGAAAAACACAAACAUGUAAGGGUCCCCGUGGCCUGAUGCCAGGGGCUGAUAACAGGAGCCCUGCGGGGGUCCAGACCCCCUUGGUCAUAAAAAGAGGACGUACGAAAGAACACCGAGAGCUCCCAUUGGCCAAGGACAGUGACAUUUAUUUAUGGACCUCAACUUUAUAAAAAGAGAUUGCGCCAAAGAAUCGAUCUCUUUCGUCUAACUUCCCGUUAGUAAUAGAUCGCUUUUUUCCUUUCUUUGCCUCCACUCCAUCCCCGCUUUCUUUUUUCGCCUUUUGAUUUAAUGCCCGUUUCACCCCGGAGGACCGGAGAGCAGCUGCUCUCUGACCCCCCGCCGACCUCUGUUCCGAACGAGAAGUUCGGACCCCGCGACUUUGCCCAUCUGCCCCAUCAAACGGUUGCGAGGAGCCCGUUCAACCUGAAGACAAUAUUCAGAUGAAAGGAAGAAAAUGAGAAAUCAGCUAACACUCCCUGAUGUGCGAUGGACACUUGAGCAAGCACGGCAAACGUAAUUGGUCAGAUUUCUUGUGUGCUGAGGCUAUGGAACCUGUGGUUAUGGUGGCUAUGGAGGCCUAUCGUUUAGAAAUAUCCACAUUGCGAUGAUGGUUAAUGAUGGGACUAAACUUAAAACCACCCAUCUGCUCCCUGCUUCAGGAUGUUUUCAUUCAAUUGUUUCUAUGCAUUUAAGACGAAAUUACUGAAUGACUUCAAAUCUUGGCCCAACGUUAGGAAACAAAAAACUCAUUAUGCAUGAAUUUGACAUAGAUAUUAUCGAGAGCCUUCUCUAACGUUGCCUUGGGCGCGCCACAGAUGGGGUAGUUGAAGCAUAGGGGGAAGAGAGACUUUAAUUUCAUUGGAUAUAGGCCUAAUUGAAGCAUCCUUUAAGGACUGUUUCAAUCAUAUUGCAUCAGAAUUAAUGUAUUUAAAUAUGAAACAUUUAAGGUCUGGUCUCUGCUGAUUGCUCACAGGCCAACCGACGAAAUUAAAUUCCAGCACGAGGAAGAAACGUACUCCUCUGCGUAGCUCGCCAUUAAUCUGACAUUUCAUCAGUUUACUAAACCGCAAUAAGACCCCGAAAACACAUUGUGCAGAUCGGCUCACUCACCCCUCCGUCAUCAGCUAAUUCUGUAAGAGGCACAACUGUGGAUUCUGUGAAUAAAAGAAAAGUUUUGGAGUCUUAAGUAUGAGACUCAGGGGUCUGGGUUGUCCAGUAGAUAGCCUGCUGCUCGGUAAUGGCUCUGGUCAUCCCCUGCGUUCUGCUACAAUCGGCAUUUUGCCUCCUCCUUUUGCAUUCUGCCGAGGACUGUACAGCUGUUCGGAGAGUGUCCCUUCAAUGGGUCCACCAUCUGGUCAUUAUUUCAGAUUUCAGAUUUUUUUGAAUGAACCUGCACAAACUGGCAAACAUGUUCUACUCAGGGCUGCCUAAAGCGUACGGAGUAGUAGAGGAUGUUUAACACUUGCAAAGCAAUCCUCAAUUGUGAAAGAGGUCACACACAGUGAUGACCUGAAAGUAAACAGCUGACCUUAAUGGUUCUGUUUCCCCCCCACCGCUUUUAUCAGCGCCAUUUCCCGCUGCAGAAAGCAGUUUUCAGGGAUAAAAUUGUUUAAACCUCCCUGCAGGCUACCUUCCAGGCAGCAGACAGUAGCCAAACUUAGCAACGAGCUGCUAAGUACUGAAGUUGCGGUGACAAAUUCCCCUGCCAGAUAAAACGCCUCGGACGAGUGCCGCAGCGCAGCUAACGGUGACUCUGCAGUUACCGUCUACGGGACAGUGUGUCUGCAGAGCCGUCAGGACCUGCACACAGACACUAAAGAGGAGAGGAAUUUUAUUACAUGCCUGUCAUACGGCCUCACACAGAGGGAGACUGUCAUUGCCACCAUCAGUCUGAUAUUACUGACAGAGCUCUCCCCUCGAGACGAAUUCUAACCAACGACAGUAUGAAGGAUCUGGAGGCCAACUCAAUAAAGGGCCUUUCGUGCUUUGUUGAUCACAGAUUUAUAUAAAGCAGGCUUCUUAACCUCAUCUUCUACUGCUGGACCGCAGCACGGAGAGCUUGUUUAAUAAUAAUAAUUUUUGUUAUCAUGUGUAAUUUCUUUUGAAAUAGUUUUGCACUGACAUGGUGAGAAAUGAAAAAAAGAGAUCGUUGGAACAGCCAGUUCAAUACACAUUAAAUGCAAUGAUAUUAAAUACUAAUGUAAACAUGGUGGAAAAAAAAUCCUUUAUUGAUCCCCCCAUCGGGGAAAUGUAGGUGUUGCAGCAGUUCAUGUAUAGAGAAACAGAUCAAGACAAUAAAUAAAACAUAUUAUGCAAUAAGUACAAAUGAAAUAAAAUUACAAUUUGAACAUUA